ensembl:lncRNA
GAGUGACACGAUGCCAGCACGCGUGCUGCUGCCUGCCCUGAGCCGCCCAUGAACCCAGGGAAUAUGACAACACUGAACCCGAGUGCUGGAGUCCCACCAGGCAGAAAUUGCUCUGCAGAAAGAACAGCUUUGAAACUGUGAGCCAGGGGAUGAGCUGAUGGGAAUAAGAGGCAAGAAGUCACCUCCUUUGGGCCCUAGGCUACCAUAAGCACCUUGAGAUACAGCCAUCUCAGCUACCUAUGACCACCGGGGACCUUGAGAGAAGCCAGCUUGUGAAAACGUCUUCAUCCAAACAACAGCAAGUAUAAUACUUUAACAGCAGAUGCAACAGGAAAAGCACAAUUGAUGGCUGCAUGGAGGUUUAUCUACACUGGAUAUCCAUCCUGCAUGGAAAAGAUAUUUUGCUGUCAGUAUUUUAUAAUACUCUUCUGAAAUGUGGGGUACAUAUUCUGGUGUUCAGAUAGCAACUGGUUCAAAGCUGACACAGUUACUACAACAUGGUCAUAUCCAAGGGACUUCCGCUACUUGACUUCUGCUUGAGCAUCAACCUCUUGGAAGGCUGAGAAAUGCCCCAUGGGAAUCCCAUUCCCUACAGUAUCUUUCUUCUCCUUGCACUGGUUUUAUUGGUAUCUUGAUUUUUUUAAUUACUUGGGAAUAUUUUCUGCCAGAUUGGAAGUGAUCUUACACAAGCAUUCUGCCAUUGUAAUACAUUGCUUUUCAAGAGAUGGAGCCAUUUCAUUUUAGCACCGAAUGUUCAAUGGAAGGUUUGGAUGGGCUAUUCAUCAAGACUUUAAGCCACUCUGUCACAGUAAUGGUGAUGUGGCACUGCACGCCGAAAGCCUUUCCAGCCAUGGCAUCAGUAGCAAGAAGAAAUCCAUCUCCUUCAGGGAUACAGGAUACCCGUUAAAAUAUGGAGAUUUCUGCAUAGCAUAUGUGAACUCUUCUUUCUUUCCCCCCUUUCAUGGAGCCCCAGGGAGCUGCUGAAAACGCCAGCCCUGGGAGAUCAAACAAGACCAGGCUCUGUGAAUCAGACGGGAAACAAAUUCAAGAGAAAAGACCCCAGCGGAAACACCCUCCGGAGUGGUUCGAAAAGACAAAUUGGAAGUGCAAGUCCCAGCAAACAGCAAAACCAUCUCAAGCUCA